UACCAGCACCCCGAGUGGUCGGGACGUUUAUUGGGCUUAAAGCAUCCGUAGCCGGUUCUACAAGUCUUCCGUUAAAUCCACCUGCUUAACAGAUGGGCUGCGGAAGAUACUAUGGAGCUAGGAGGCGGGAGAGGCAAGCGGUACUCGAUGGGUAGGGGUAAAAUCCGUUGAUCCAUUGAAGACCACCAGUGGCGAAGGCGGCUUGCCAGAACGCGCUCGACGGUGAGGGAUGAAAGCUGGGGGAGCAAACCGG
rnacentral:rRNA from 1 species